GCACCUUCAGCAAAGCGCCCUCUGCACGAUUCCUAAACACUUCUCUCAGUGGCUCUGCCAAACCUCACCUGGCUGGACCUCCGCUCUAACAGGACCACAGUGCUUCCUUCUGGGAUCGGCUGUCACAAGUGGUGUCCAAGAUUCCCUUUGCCACUGACCUGAUAGGUAAUGAGAAAAUACCGAUGCAUUCGCCUGGGAAACUGAAACAAAGCAAAGAGAAAUCACUGCAAGCAAGUCAGGAAAUGAGGUUGGUACCGGAGGAGAAUUUAGAGGAAAAGCUGAAACAGCACACCCA